AAAAUGUUAUCUGCUGCCUCUUCUCCUCUUACUCUCCCCUCUCUUCCACCCCUUUCUUCCUCUCCCCGUGACUUUACACGUGUCAGAUUCCGACCUCCACAGGCCUUCUCCUCCACCGCCACUGCUUCUUCCACCGCCUACGCCUCCAGACCCGACACCGCCUCCCCCUAUCUCAACCUUCAAACAAUGUCUUCCUGCACUUCCCUUUACGACGUCCUUGGAAUCCCUACUGGAGCUUCUUUUCAGGAGAUUAAAUCCGCAUACCGACGACUUGCCAGACUUUGUCACCCUGACGUUGCGGCCAUCCACAGGAAAGACUCAUCUGCCACCGAUUUCAUGAAGAUCCACGCCGCUUAUUCCACUCUCUCUGAUCCUGAGAAACGUGCUGAUUACGAUCGGAAGCUUCUUCGUCGGUGU
rnacentral:lncRNA from 1 species